AUGCGAGUCCAUCUCGCGCCGGAGAGGGAGAUCUCCCCGGCACCGGAAGAGGACGAGCGGGUAAUCUUCCGCUCGCAUUGCCUUCGCGGCUUUGGCCUGCCGGCGAGCGGGUUCUUCUGCUCCUUCCUCGAAUUCUAUCAUCUCCAGCUGCAUCACCUCACUCCCAAUGCAGUGAUGCUGCUGUCGGCCUUCGUCACCCUGUGCAAGGGUUUUCUUGGCGUCCUCCCCACCCUUGAACUGUGGGGAGAGUUCUUCCAGUGCAAGCUUGGCACUAUUGUUGCGGGCAUGCCCGCCCCAUGCGGCACCUUCAUCGCUGUGCAGAGGACGGGCGACAACAACCCGUUUCCGUCCAUCCCACUGAUCCAGUCGGUGAAGCUCUGGUAG
rnacentral:rRNA from 1 species